rnacentral:misc_RNA from 2 species
CGCCGCUCCGCGCCCUCCCUCCCCUCCUGGGAACGGUGGGCGCGGCGUGGAGACUGGCCUCCCGUGCGCCUCGGCGUGCGGAUGGCCCAAAUUUGAACCCUCGGCGAUGCACGUCACGGCCAUUGGUGGUUGAUAAUAUGACUCUCAUGCUGUCGUGAUUUGCUCCAUCUUCCUCUUGGGUUGAUCAUUGGAUACGACUCCAUCCAAACAGACCCCAACGGCAGCUUGUGGCCUCCCUCC